UUACAAUUGUCUAAGUUCAUCCAUCGUCGGUGCGAUUCCAGUUUCCACUUAUCGGAAUCCGAUACUGUCUUCAUUGUGACGACACACGACAACAAGUUUGGAAGCUUUGCCAAAGCAGCGCAAAAAGCAACUGAAAUCCUACGUCCGGAACAUGGAGCUGAGGGAUGUUAAUAUUACCGUUGCCGGUCUGCAUAUGACUCGUGAAACCUGCAUUGCGAUGGCUGCCGGAAUACUUGGCUACAUCAUUUUGUUCUCGGAAAUGGGUGAACAGAACACCAGCACACUCCUUAAUGCAAGUCCCGACGCGAACAUUUCUAAAUAUGCAAAGGUGUAAUAA